rnacentral:lncRNA from 1 species
GGAAAUAAAGAGCCAUUAUAGUGUGGCCAGGGUGCUCUACUAGUAAAUUCACUUUUAUUUUUUUACUCGUUUAUUAGCCUGGAAUAUUCUAGCUUGUUCUUUUAGCUAGGAGCCUGGUUGGUGUUUCUAUUCAGUAGAAAAUGCUUCUUAUCACUAAACAUAUACAGUGGGUUGGUGCAGGUGCAGUCUACGGGCACUAAGUUUUCAAUAUAAGAAAUAAUAUUAGUAGAAAGGUAGGAAAAGUAGGUGGAAUAAUCUCUAAUUCAAUAUGUUAGGGAUGAGUAACCCUUUAAUUGAUAAUAAUCAUUUAACAAGGCUGUACAGUACUUUGGGGGUACCACAGACAUAUUUAAAAGAGAAAGUAGAGUAAAUA